rnacentral:rRNA from 1 species
UACGUAGGGGGCUAGCGUUGUCCGGAAUCAUUGGGCGUAAAGAGCGCGUAGGCGGCCCAGUAAGUCCGCUCUGAAAGUCAGGGGCUCAACCCCUGGAUGCGGGUGGAUACUGCUGGGCUAGAGUCCGGAAGAGGUGAGUGGAAUUCCUAGUGUAGAGGUGAAAUUCGUAGAUAUUAGGAAGAACACCGGUGGCGAAGGCGGCAUCCUGGACCGGCAUUGACGCUGAGGCGCGAAAGCCAGGGGAGCAAACGGG